rnacentral:rRNA from 1 species
GGUAGAAUUUCAGGUGUAGCGGUGAAAUGCGUAGAGAUCUGAAGGGAAUACCAGUGGCGAAGGCGGCCACCUGGACAGAGACUGACACUGAGGCGCGAAGGCGUGGGGAGCAAACGGGAUUAGAUACCCCGGUAGUCCACGCAGUAAACGAUGUCUAUUAGAAGUUUGUGGCUAUAUGCCGUGGGUUUCAAAGCUAACGCAUUAAAUAGACCGCCUGGGGAGUACGGCCGCAAGGUUAAAACUCAAAUGAAUUGACGGGGGCCCGCACAAGCGGUGGAGCAUGUGGUUUAAUUCGAUGCAACGCGAAGAACCUUACCAUCCCUUGACAUCCAGAGAAUCACCUAGAGAUAGAUGAGUGCCUUCGGGAACUCUGAGACAGGUGCUGCAUGGCUGUCGUCAGCUCGUGUUGUGAAAUGUUGGGUUAAGUCCCGCAACGAGCGCAACCCUUAUCCUUAGUUGCCAGCACGUAAUGGUGGGAACUCUAGGGAGACUGCCGGUGAUAAACCGGAGGAAGGUGGGGACGACGUCAAGUCAUCAUGGCCCUUACGGGAUGGGCUACACACGUGCUACAAUGGCAAAUACAAAGGGUUGCUAACCUGCGAGGGUAUGCGAAUCUCAUAAAGUUUGUCGUAGUCCGGAUCGGAGUCUGCAACUCGACUCCGUGAAGUUGGAAUCGCUAGUAAUCGUGGAUCAGAAUGCCACGGUGAAUACGUUCCCGGGCCUUGUACACACCGCCCGUCACACCAUGGGAGUGGGCUGCACCAGAAGUCAUUAGCUUAACCUUCGGGAUGGCGAUGACCACGGUGUGGUUCAUGACUGGGGUGAA